rnacentral:rRNA from 1 species
AGUGAACGCUGGCGGUAGGCCUAACACAUGCAAGUCGAACGGCAGCACAGGAGAGCUUGCUCUCUGGGUGGCGAGUGGCGGACGGGUGAGGAAUACAUCGGAAUCUACCUUUUCGUGGGGGAUAACGUAGGGAAACUUACGCUAAUACCGCAUACGACCUACGGGUGAAAGUGGGGGACCGCAAGGCCUCACGCGAUUAGAUGAGCCGAUGUCCGAUUAGCUAGUUGGCGGGGUAAUGGCCCACCAAGGCGACGAUCGGUAGCUGGUCUGAGAGGAUGAUCAGCCACACUGGAACUGAGACACGGUCCAGACUCCUACGGGGGGCAGCAGUGGGGAAUAUUGGACAAUGGGCGCAAGCCUGAUCCAGCCAUACCGCGUGGGUGAAGAAGGCCUUCGGGUUGUAAAGCCCUUUUGUUGGGAAAGAAAUCCUGUCGAUUAAUACUCGGUGGGGAUGACGGUACCCAAAGAAUAAGCACCGGCUAACUUCGUG